AAUAUUGCACAAUGGGGGAAACCCUGAUGCAGCAACGCCGCGUGAGCGAUGAAGGCCUUCGGGUCGUAAAGCUCUGUCCUCAGCGAAGAUAAUGACGGUACCUUAGGAGGAAGCCCCGGCUAACUACGUGCCAGCAGCCGCGGUAAUCCGAAGGGGGCAAGCGUUAUCCGGAAUCAUUGGGCGUAAAGGGUGCGUAGGCUGCCCUAUAGUUCAGAGGUCAAGGGCUACGGCUCGACCGUAGUAAGCCUUUGAAACUGUAGGGCUUGAGUGCAGGAGAGGAGAGUGGAAUUCCUAGUGUAGCGGUGAAAUGCGUAGAUAUUAGGAGGAACACCAGUGGCGAAGGCGACUCUCUGGACUGCAACUGACGCUGAGGCACGAAAGCGUGGGUAGCGAACA
rnacentral:rRNA from 1 species